GGCACGGUCAUGCCCAGUACGGCGAGUGAGCGGCAAGAGCUCAAAUUUGAAAUCUGGCCUCCCCCGGGGGUCCGAGUUGUAAUUUGCAGAGGAUGCUUCGGGCGCGGCCCCCGUCUAAGUUCCUUGGAACAGGACGUCAGAGAGGGUGAGAAUCCCGUCUUGGGCGGGCGGCCCGCGCCCGUGUGAAGCUCCUUCGACGAGUCGAGUUGUUUGGGAAUGCAGCUCUAAGCGGGUGGUAAAUUUCAUCUAAAGCUAAAUACCGGCCGGAGACCGAUAGCGCACAAGUAGAGUGAUCGAAAGGUUAAAAGCACCUUGAAAAGGGAGUUAAACAGCACGUGAAAUUGUUGAAAGGGAAGCGCUUGCGGCCAGACUCGGGGGGCGGGGUUCAGCGGGCGCUCGUCGCCCGUGCACUGCCCGCUCCCCGGGCCAGCAUCAGCUUCGACGGCCGGUCAAAAGGCCCCCGGAAUGUGUCGUCUCUAGGGACGUCUUAUCCCCGGGGGGUGCAAUGCCUCA
rnacentral:rRNA from 1 species